rnacentral:rRNA from 1 species
UACGUAGGGGGCAAGCGUUGUCCGGAAUCAUUGGGCGUAAAGCGCGUGUAGGCGGUCCGGUAAGUCUGCUGUGAAAGUCGGGGGCUCAACCCUCGGAAGCCGGUGGAUACUGCUGGGCUAGAGUGCGGAAGAGGCGAGUGGAAUUCCUGGUGUAGCGGUGAAAUGCGCAGAUAUCAGGAGGAACACCAAUUGCGAAGGCAGCUCGCUGGGACGUGACUGACGCUGAGACGCGAAAGCGUGGGGAGCAAACAGG